CCUACGGGAGGCAGCAGUGGGGAAUAUUGCACAAUGGGCGAAAGCCUGAUGCAGCGACGCCGCGUGAGGGAUGACGGCCUUCGGGUUGUAAACCUCUUUCAGCAGGGAAGAAGCGAAAGUGACGGUACCUACAGAAGAAGCGCCGGCUAACUACGUGCCAGCAGCCGCGGUAAUACGUAGGGCGCAAGCGUUGUCCGGAAUUAUUGGGCGUAAAGAGCUCGUAGGCGGCUUGUCACGUCGGAUGUGAAAGCCCGAGGCUUAACCUCGGGUCUGCAUUCGAUACGGGCUAGCUAGAGUGUGGUAGGGGAGAUCGGAAUUCCUGGUGUAGCGGUGAAAUGCGCAGAUAUCAGGAGGAACACCGGUGGCGAAGGCGGAUCUCUGGGCCAUUACUGACGCUGAGGAGCGAAAGCGUGGGGAGCGAACAGGAUUAGAUACCCUGGUAGUCCACGCCGUAAACGUUGGGAACUAGGUGUUGGCGACAUUCCACGUCGUCGGUGCCGCNGCUACGCAUACGUCCGUCCGUCGGAGACGGCGCGAGACGUAAACGUAAAGUAAGUAGUAGUUAGNGUGAGAGUGCGACGGCGACGACGAGGAGAGG
rnacentral:rRNA from 1 species